rnacentral:rRNA from 1 species
UACGUAGGGAGCAAGCGUUGUCCGGAAUCAUUGGGCGUAAAGCGCGCGUAGGCGGCCCCGUAAGUCCGCUGUGAAAGUCAAAGGCUCAACCUUUGAAAGCCGGUGGAUACUGUGGGGCUAGAGUCCGGAAGAGGCGAGUGGAAUUCCUGGUGUAGCGGUGGAAUGCGCAGAUAUCAGGAGGAACACCAAUAGCGAAGGCAGCUCGCUGGGACGGUACUGACGCUGAGGAGCGAAAGCGUGGGGAGCGAACAGG